UCGAGAAUAGUCUACAAUGGUCGAAAGACUGAUAGUGCGAAGCCGCGUGAACGAAGAAUCCCUUCGGGGUGUAAAGUUCUUUUUUAAUCGAGCAAUGCCUUUUACGUGAUAAGCAUGAGAGGAGAGAUAUUAGGUUAAGAAUAAGCAACGGCUAACUCCGUGCCAGCAGCCGCGGUAACACGGGGGUUGCAGGCGUUGUCCGGAAUUACUAGGCGUAAAGGGCAGGUAGGCGGAUAUAUAAGUUUUGUGUUAAAGGCAUCAGCUUAACCGGAGUAAGGCAUAGGAUACUGUAUAUCUGGAAUGCGGUUGAGGAAGACAGAAUUCCCGGUGUAGCGGUGGAAUGCGCAGAGAUCAGGAGGAAUACCAAAGGCGAAGGCAGUCCUCUAAGCCGAUAUUGACGCUGAGCUGCGAAUGUGUGGGUAUCAAACA
rnacentral:rRNA from 1 species